AUUGAACGCUGGCGGAAUGCUUUACACAUGCAAGUCGAACGGUAGAGGGGGCAACCCCUCGAGAGUGGCGAACGGGUGAGUAAUAUAUCGGAACGUGCCCCGUCGUGGGGGAUAACGUAGCGAACGUUACGCUAAUACAGCAUACGCUCUAAGGAUGAAAGCGGGGGAUCGCAAUACCUCGCGCGAUUGGAGCGGCCGAUAUCAGAUUAGGUAGUUGGUGGGGUAAAGGCUCACCAAGCCAACGAACUGUAGCUGGUCUGAGAGGACGACCAGCCACACUGGAACUGAGACACGGUCCAGACUCCUACGGGAGGCAGCAGUGGGGAAUUUUGGACAAUGGACGCAAGUCUGAUCCAGCCAUUCCGCGUGCAGGAUGAAGGCCCUCGGGUUGUAAACUGCUUUUGUACGGAACGAAAAGGUCUCUCUUAAUACGGGGGGCUCAUGUCGGUACCGUAAGAAUAAGCACCGGCUAACUACGUGCCAGCCGCCGCCGUAA
rnacentral:rRNA from 1 species